rnacentral:rRNA from 1 species
GACGAACGCUGGCGGCGCGCCUAACACAUGCAAGUCGAACGGAGCUGAGAGAAGCUUGCUUUUCUUAGCUUAGUGGCGAACGGGUGAGUAACGCGUGAGUAACCUGUCCUGGAGUGGGGGACAACAGUUGGAAACGACUGCUAAUACCGCAUAAGCCCACGAUCCGGCAUCGGAUUGAGGGAAAAGGAUUUAUUCGCUUCAGGAUGGACUCGCGUCCAAUUAGCUAGUUGGUGAGGUAACGGCCCACCAAGGCGACGAUUGGUAGCCGGACUGAGAGGUUGAACGGCCACAUUGGGACUGAGACACGGCCCAGACUCCUACGGGAGGCAGCAGUGGGGGAUAUUGCACAAUGGGGGAAACCCUGAUGCAGCGACGCCGCGUGGAGGAAGAAGGUUUUCGGAUUGUAAACUCCUGUCGUUAGGGACGAUAAUGACGGUACCUAACAAGAAAGCACCGGCUAACUACGUG